GCCACUGUAGUUCAGUGGUUUCAUUACUGGACUACAACUCUGGGUAAUCAGGGUUCAAAUCCCUGCUCAGCCA